AUGCACGAGAUCAACGCCGCGUCAUCUUGCCAGAUUGUAUGUUUAUUACAGGAAACCAAAUUGGUGAAUAUUGAUCAGUACACUGCAGGCUACCUGGGAGGCUUUCGCCUUAAAAGGUUUGCCCGCCCAGCGUUGGGAACAAGAGGGGGAAUUCUUAUGCUAUGGGACGAAUCUUUCUUCGACGUUUCCAACAUCAUCGUCUCCGAAUUUUGCCUUUUGGCCAUGGUCCAUGAGCGCUACUCGGGCACUGCCUUCAAGAUCACCUCCGUGUAUGGUCCUACCGCCGCGGCUAGAAAAGAUGAUUUUUUAGCCGAGCUUCUCUCCCAAAAACCCGCCUCCGAUCAUAAAUGGUUGGCAAUCGGUGAGUUAAAUCAAAUAUAUCGCAACUGAGACAAGAACAAGAGGAAUGUCAAUCGGAGCUGUAUCAAUAGAUUCCACAACACCCUUCAAUCUUGCGAGCUCGAGGAAAUUAACCUCCAACAUAGGCGCUUCACUUGGAGUAAUGAGAGAGCAAGACCAACCUUGUGCAAGCUAGACUCUUUCUCUUGCAAUGCAAAUUGGGACCUUCAGUUUGACAGUUUGACACACAUGUUCUCCAUGCUCCCAUCCGCACUCUCCGAUCAUUGCACUCUCCUCCUCGCCGAUGAUAGUGGCCCACGGAGGCCAUGAAGCUUUAGAUUCGAGAUUUUUUGACUUAUCCCGGGCUUUGAGGAGGUGGUGCUUGAAGCUUGGAAUGAGUCUACUGGACAUUUGGAACCUUUCCAAAACUUUUUUCACAAACUCAAGAACACCCGUGAGAAACUUGCUACUUGGAGCUGAGGGCUAUUCUCCAAGUCCAAGGUUCACUUCCAUGCCACCCUUCUCGUCGUCCUCCACCUCGACAUAGCACAAGAGAACCAGGCACUUCUGUUGGAAGAGCAUGAUCCAAGAUUGAGGCUAAAAAAGAAAUUCAUUAGCUUGGCAAUUGUGGAACGGGCUAGAAAGAAACAAUGCGCGCGGAUUUCCAAUCUCAAGGUAGGGGAUGCCAACACAAAAUUCUUUCAUUUGAGAGUCAAUGCUAGAAGAAGGAAGAACCACAUUCAUAGGCUAAAACAUAACAACGGCUGGGUCACCGACCAUGCGGUCAAGGCGACAUUGUGGCGUUGCGUUGGGGCGCUGCUUUGA
rnacentral:rRNA from 1 species